rnacentral:rRNA from 1 species
AACGAACGCUGGCGGCAGGCCUAACACAUGCAAGUCGAGCGAGGACUUCGGUCCUAGCGGCGGACGGGUGAGUAACGCGUGGGAACGUGCCCUUUGCUUCGGAAUAGCCCUGGGAAACUGGGAGUAUACCGGAUGAGCCCUUUGGGGGAAAGAUUUAUCGGCGAAGGAUCGGCCCGCGUUGGAUUAGGUAGUUGGUGGGGUAAUGGCCUACCAAGCCGACGAUCCAUAGCUGGUUUGAGAGGAUGAUCAGCCACACUGGGACUGAGACACGGCCCAGACUCCUACGGGAGGCAGCAGUGGGGAAUCUUAGACAAUGGGGGAAACCCUGAUCUAGCCAUGCCGCGUGAGCGAUGAAGGCCUUAGGGUUGUAAAGCUCUUUCAGCUGGGAAGAUAAUGACGGUACCAGCAGAAGAAGCCCCGGCUAACUCCGUG